CAGGUUAUUCAGAGGACACAGGUGAUAGGGACAGGUUAUUCAGGGGGGACACAUGAUAGGGACAGGUUAUUCAGGGGAGACACAUGAUAGGGACAGGUUAUUCAGGGGAGACACAUGAUAGGGACAGGUUAUUCAGGAAAGACACAUGAUAGGGACAGGUUAUUCAGGAGAGACACAUGAUAGGGACAGGUUAUUCAGGGGGGACACAUGAUAGGGACAGGUUAUUCAGGGGAGACACAUGAUAGGGACAGGUUAUUCAGGAGAGACACAUGAUAGGGACAGGUUAUUCAGGGGAGACACAUGAUAGGGACAGGUUAUUCAGGAGAGACACAUGAUAGGGACAGGUUAUUCAGGAGAGACACAUGAUAGGGACAGGUUAUUCAGGAGAGACACAUGAUAGGGACAGGUUAUUCAGGAGAGACACAUGAUAGGGACAGGUUAUUCAGGGGGGACACAUGAUAGGGACAGGUUAUUCAG